UAUAGACCUUACCCGGGGGUCUAGUCCCUCCCACCCCCACCUCCACUCGUCCUGGGGGUAUGCCACUCUACGCUCUUACCUUAGAAGAGCCGUAACAGCUAGAAAACAUUUAUUUGUUCUGCAGGUCCACUUUACGUUUUUCCUACCAAGAGGAAAACAAUGGAGAUGAUAAGUGAAACGAAAUUGGGAAAACGUUAAGAGGUGAUGAAGGUGGGAGAUGGGUACAAGAGUGUUGGUUAGAAAACCUGAAUGGGAGCCCAGCCUCAGAACACUGGAUGCUGUUAGCUUUGCUGCCCUCCUGGAUCAACUUUAUGUUUUUGAGCUUCCUACAUGUUUGCCUACAGUCAUAGCAGUUUUAAUUGCUGGAUAAUAUUACAUUGUAUGAAAAUACCACAUUCUAUCCAUUUUACUGUGGAUGAUGGAUUUUGGAUAUCUUUCCAGUUUAUCACGAUUAUAAAAACUGCUGCAAUUCAUGCGCCCCCCCCCCCCCCCCGCCCCACCACAUCUCUUUGUACAUACAUCCAAGAGUUUUUUCUAUGUUAGAUACCUAUAAGUGGAAUUUUUAAGCCUCAGGGCAUGAGCAUUUUCAACUGGAUUGAGUAGCAUCAAUGGAUUUCCUGAGAAGUUGAACUAACUUCCACUCCCGUCAACUCUCUAUGAGAGUUCCUGUGGUGACACAUCCUCACCAACAGGUUUACCUGUUUUUGAUACGUAAAAAUAAAAUUCAGAAUGAUUACAAGUCUGUAUCUUCUUCUUUAUAUAAAGCUAACCACAGAGCAGAUGCUCAGUAAAAAUUCUCUGGUUGCUAGAUUUUGGAGACUAUAUUCUAGAAAAUUCAAGACCACUAUACUUAAACAUACAAGUUCUAUUUCCAUAGAUAAGAGAACGCUCUGCUUUUAUUUUUAAAUAACAAAUACAUACAUACUAAACAUAUAUGCAGACACAUACUACACUCAAACCAAUGUGUAAUGCUUGAUUAUUAACAAAAAGCAUGGGGGCAAAGAAACACUAUUUCUUCAGUUAAAAAAAGAGAACCUGAAAUUUUUCUA